rnacentral:rRNA from 1 species
AGUGAACGCUGGCGGUAGGCCUAACACAUGCAAGUCGAACGGCAGCACAGUAAGAGCUUGCUCUUACGGGUGGCGAGUGGCGGACGGGUGAGGAAUACAUCGGAAUCUACUUUUUCGUGGGGGAUAACGUAGGGAAACUUACGCUAAUACCGCAUACGACCUACGGGUGAAAGCAGGGGAUCUUCGGACCUUGCGCGAUUGAAUGAGCCGAUGUCGGAUUAGCUAGUUGGCGGGGUAAAGGCCCACCAAGGCGAGGAUCCGUAGCUGGUCUGGGAGGAUGAUCAGCCACACUGGAACUGAGACACGGUCCAGACUCCUACGGGAGGCAGCAGUGGGGAAUAUUGGACAAUGGGCGCAAGCCUGAUCCAGCCAUACCGCGUGGGUGAAGAAGGCCUUCGGGUUGUAAAGCCCUUUUGUUGGGAAAGAAAAGCAGCAGGUUAAUACCCCGCUGUUCUGACGGUACCCAAAGAAUAAGCACCGGCUAACUUCGUG